rnacentral:rRNA from 1 species
GGUGAACGCUGGCGGCGUGCCUAAUACAUGCAAGUCGAGCGAACAGACGAGGAGCUUGCUCCUCUGACGUUAGCGGCGGACGGGUGAGUAACACGUGGAUAACCUACCUAUAAGACUGGGAUAACUUCGGGAAACCGGAGCUAAUACCGGAUAAUAUAUUGAACCGCAUGGUUCAAUAGUGAAAUACGGUUUUGCUGUCACUUAUAGAUGGAUCCGCGCCGCAUUAGCUAGUUGGUAAGGUAACGGCUUACCAAGGGGACGAUGCGUAGCCGACAUGAGAGGGUGAUAGGCGACACUGGAACUGAGCCACGGUCCAUAGUCCUACGGGAGGCAGCAGUAGGGAAUCUUCCGCAAUGGGCGAAAGCCUGACGGAGCAACGCCGCGUGAGUGAUGAAGGUCUUCGGAUCGUAAAACUCUGUUAUUAGGGAAGAACAAAUGUGUAAGUAACUAUGCACGUCUUGACGGUACCUAAUCAGAAAGCCACGGCUAACUACGUG